CUGCCUCACAGCCAUUGUCAGCACAGCUGGCGGCACACUCAGGGACAUCUCCUCUCUGGUUCUCCCUUAUCUCUUCUACAUGGUGCUAGGGUACAGCCUGACUCAGGAGGAGUCCUAGCUUUUAGGUCACAAGUUCCUCCUCAGUAGGGAGUUUCUGUAGAAGUGUUGGCAGCCGGAGGCUGUCUGCUUAUGACACCUGAAGCAUCCAGGGGAGAAGUCCUUCUAUUUCAGAGGGUGAUCCGUAGUGCCCGACUUGUGUGCAGAGAGUGUGCAGGUAUAGGGCUGUGAUGGACUUGACUGCAGACACUGUGCUAUUAUAGGGCUAUGAUGCUUCUUGAAUCACACAAGGCUAUGAAAGCCCUAGAAUACACAAGUGAUAUGGACAUGAACUUGGCUUUCAGUUUCAUUCCUCUCUUUCAGGAAAGUAAGCCAUGUGAAAGGACUGUUUAUUCAAGCACUCCACAGGAGACCUUCUAAGCUUUUCCUGUCAGCCCCCACCUCUCUUCUACUUCCCCUUGCCUGUUGACCCUUCCUUUUCUGACUGUCAGGGGUUAUCAAAAGCAGGGAGACAAGAACCAGUCCACACACAGCUGGCUGCUGCCAGAGGCUCUAUGGGUGGGAACCAUAGAUGCCUUACUGCCUCCUUUGACUUCCUUGGCCCUUUACCCCUGAUUCCUGAGAUAUAAUCAGUUUCUCACAUGGAUACCUAUAGCAUCUUCUCAGGACCUCCUCCCAGUAAGUGACUACAAAACCAUAAAAAGACUGGUGGCUCAGGAUGGUGGUGCCUUUGCCACAUAUUUCCCAGGCCACUGUGAGCAAUCACAAAGGAGAAAUACACAUCCAAACAGUGCACCUGAGCGACAAUGAGCAUCUGACCCAACAGGCCAUAGACUCCACAUCACAGCACCAACUGCUCGCUCUAUGGCUGAACUCACAACCCAGACAACCUCCAACUCUCCAACAGUGAAAGAUGGGGAUCAAACCCAAGGAGGGAUCAGCUUCCCUGCCCUUAUGCCUGAGCCACUGGGGAUGUGCCUUUGUGACAAUCAGAUAUGGAAAUGCUCCACCCUCUUCCCAGCCUCCAUCACACACGCCCUGCCUGUGUCCUCUUGCUGGUGACUCAUUCCUCCUGGCUCAGGAAGAAGAGCCUUCCUCUCGUAUAAUCUCAGUUUAAAGAGAAGAUUCCUUUGCUUCCUUCACUUACGAAUAACUCCUGAGGCCUGGAUGGAUGCCUCAUUCAUCUUCACAGUGCACUUUUCAUAAUGGUGUACUCUGUCACCACAGCAAUGACAUUGAUGCACAAUCCGACCAGCUUCAUCAUGCUCCUGCUGCCACAUCUUUUCUGCCAUGAUAGAUGGGACCCUCGAACUGUGAGCCAAAAUAAAUCCUUCCUCCCUUAAGUUGCUGUUGUCAGUUCCACAGUCCUCUCCAGAGAGGAGCAGACAAUCAUCCAAAGGCAUGUUCAUCCAAAGGCAUGCCCACCACUCCCAGCUGGAGCCAGACCCCACCACUGGGAGUCAUGCUGCCAUACUCCAGGAUGAAUUCUGAGUGAGGUGAGACCAGAGAAUGAAGGCAACCAUCAAGAAAGAAGACGUUUUCCACUCAGUCAGAAGUGAAAAAUUAUCCAGAGGGCCAGGUUUUGUCUGCAGUCAGAGACAACAGGGCUGGACUUCACCGGGUACAGCCGGCAGGGCAUGUCACCCAGGCUCUUCUGCCUGCAGUAGGACACCUUUGAACUGGUGCUGCUGUGAGUAAAGCCUGCUGGCGCUGUCGUUGAAACUCACGUGUGCAAGAUUGCUCUAUCUUGAAAAGCAGAGCCUGGCUGAGGAGGUCAGGAGUGCUGUGCCCAAGGUACUGAGCCUUCCCCCAGCUGCUCCUGCUGAGGGCAGUCUCCAAAGGGCAUUGCUGAGCUUGGAGAUUUCAGGGCUAUAAACAGAAGCCACGGAUUACCUGAAAGCUGGUUGUGGAUGAAUACAUUCUUUGAACAGCCAUUGCACAAUUUCCCUACCUACAAAAGCCUGACUUAAGGAACAGUUGUCCUGGCCACACUCAGUGAACCUGAAUAUGAUGUAUUCAUCUUAGCCAUAGAAUCAAAUUUUCAAUGCUUUAUAUGGGAAGGUGUUUUAAUAUUUCCUGAUUUCUUUCUAGUUUGUGAAGGCUUUGAAAAAAAUCAAGAAGCCUUUUCCUGUUUUUUGUUAAACUCACUGAUUUACAAGAGAAAGUUUACUUUGUUUUUUAUUUAAUUAGUUUGAAUUGUUUUUAUUUUAUUAUUUCAUGUGUAUGGGUGGUCUGCCUGCCUACCCACAUGUCUGUAUGCUAUGUAUAUACCUGGUGUCUAGUGCCUGGCUUGGGAGAUGGUACAGAAGAAGAUGGUGGGUACCCUGGAAAUGGAGUUACUGUUAGUUGUCAAUUGCCACGUGAGUGCUGGAAACCCAGCUGAGGUCCUGUGAAAAAGCAGCCAGUGCUUUUAACUGCUAAGCCAUCUCUCUAGCCCCAUACUUUGGCCUUUUAGAUGAAAUGUCUAGCAAUAGUUUUAGACUGGCUUCAGUUCAUUGUACGAUCCCUAAGGUUCCAAUGGUUAAUUUUUUAGUGUAAAUAAUGUCAGCUUGAUGCCUGUGGUAGUUUUAAUGCAAUUGGCCCCUAUAAUCUCAUUAUAGGGAGUGGCACUAUUAGGAGGUGUGGCUUUGUUGGAGUAGGUGCAGCCUUGUUGGAGGAAGUGUUUUCCUUUAUAAGAGUUGCCAUGGUCCUGGUGUCCCUUCACGGCAAUAGAAACCCUAACUAAGACACUGCCUUGGAUGCCUAUGGCCAAAAUUGAAAGGAAUAGGACAGAAAGAGAACCCUGAGUGGCAGUAGGGGUAGCACAGGGGUUGGAACCUGGGGAAUGAGUACAGAAUGAGUACAAAGCAGCAUAGGUCAUAGAGAUGCUAGGGAUGGGGUAAGGGGUCAGAGAAGGGAGGGUGGGCAGGCACAUAGAAAGCGAGGCUGUGGCUAGGGGACAGAGAGGGCAGAGCAAGAGGCAAGAGUGAAGGAGUCGGGGAAGCAAGGGAGCAUAGUUUAGCAGUCAGAUUCUAACGAGCCAUCUUUGGGUGCCCACUUUCGUGCACAGUCCUCUACCACACUGAGCAGGGAUGGCCUGUGUAGCCAAGGAGACAGUGCUGUUUCCUCUUUGCACUCUUGGGUCACUUGUUCCAGAACAGUGGGAUGCCUUGUGGAGAAGUUCAAGCAUCCCUCAAGAAAGGCACUUGUGCUUUCAGAGCUUUGGCCUCUUGCCCACAGCCCUGGGGGCUUGCCUUCUGGGAAGCAGCUGCACUGGCUCAACUCUCCAACAUCCAGAAUCCUACAGGCAAAUCCUACAGGAGGAGCCAGGCCAGAACUGCCACCUCUGACCCACAGAUCCUCCUUGAGAUAAUAAAUGUGUAUCUUUAUGUUAAGCCCUCAAGUUUGGGGCUAUUUGGAUCUAUAAACACAGGGGAAACAUGGCUCAAAUGAGAACAGAGAGUCCACAUCCCUGCAAUUUCAGCUCUCCAGGCCUCUCCUGGGCCCUGCCAUGUGUCUUUGAUGAGCUGUGGCUGGAAGCCCCAUGAGCAAUACACAGUAAUGUGGUUUUUAUAAGUUGGAAAUUUUUGCCAAUUUGCUGAAUCAGUCAUUACAGAAAUAGAUCCUCCAUGACCUGACUUCUGGUAGACUGAUUUUCCAUGAAUAAUGUUAAGAGGCAAUACCUCAACUGAUUUUAUACCUGGAAAUCCUAGAACUGGGGUUUUAGAGAGCAUUUGGCUAAGCUAUGUUAAGGUAAGGCUGACAUAAAUGUCAGGGUAGCAGGUGACUGAGGGUGACUUCUCAGAGCCAUAUCAGGUGUCCCACAUCUCAUUGCAUUUAUCUAGGUCAUGGUAAAACAAAAAUAAUAGAUUUACCCUUUGAGAGGCGACAAGACUUACCCUUUCUUGAUUUCUGAUAAUCGAUUAUGUUUGGGAACACAUUGGGCUCUCUGGGAUGAUGAUUAAGAAUGUAAUUUGCAGGUAUAAUAAAAAGAGGAAUUGGAUUCAUAAAUAAAGUCUCUACAGAUGCUUAAUGCUACCUUCAAGAAAUUACAGGUAGAAUUCUCCUGCAAGUCCCAGAUGAUUGACAGCAGGCAAGCCAGCGGCAGCUGCCAGCAUUGUGAAGGGAUUGAAGAAGUCUACUUCACCCGCUGGAGACAAGCAAGGGCAAGACAGGGUUUCUCACACAUCACUGUCCCCCAAGGAUCAAGCCUGGGUAACACUGAUCUGUGGAACCCUCUCUGAGGAGAGGUUAUCAGCCAUUUUUAGGAGUGGAAAGAUGUUUUUAAGAAGGGCUGAAUAGCCGGGUGUUGUUGGCACAUGCCUUUAAUCCCAGCACUCGGGAGGCAGAGGCAGGUGGAUUUCUGUGAGCUCGAGGCCAGCCUGGUCUACAGCUCGAAUUCCAGGACAACCUCCAAAGCAAUACAGAGAAACCCUGUCUCAAAAAAGAAGAAGGGUUGGAGAGAUGGCUCAGAGGUUAAGAGCACUGGCUGCUCUUCCAGAGGCCCUGAGUUUAAUUCCCGGCAACCACAUAGUGGCUCACAACCAUCCGUUAUGACAUCUGGUGCCCUCUUCUGGUGUGCAGAUAUACAUGGAAGCAGAAUGUUGUAUACAUAAUAAAUAAAUAAAAUCGUUAAAAAAAAAGGAGGAGGGAGAGAAGAAGAAGAAGAAGAAGAAGAAGAAGAAGAAGAAGAAGAAGAAGAAGAGGA
rnacentral:lncRNA from 1 species